AUUGAACGCUGGCGGCAGGCCUAACACAUGCAAGUCGAACGGAUCCUUCGGGAUUAGUGGCGGACGGGUGAGUAACACGUGGGAACGUGCCCUUUGGUUCGGAACAGCUCAGGGAAACUUGAGCUAAUACCGGAUGUGCCCUUUGGGGGAAAGAUUUAUCGCCAUUGGAGCGGCCCGCGUCUGAUUAGCUAGUUGGUGAGGUAAAGGCUCACCAAGGCGACGAUCAGUAGCUGGUCUGAGAGGAUGAUCAGCCACAUUGGGACUGAGACACGGCCCAAACUCCUACGGGAGGCAGCAGUGGGGAAUCUUGCGCAAUGGGCGAAAGCCUGACGCAGCCAUGCCGCGUGAAUGAUGAAGGUCUUAGGAUUGUAAAAUUCUUUCACCGGGGACGAUAAUGACGGUACCCGGAGAAGAAGCCCCGGCUAACUUCGUGCCAGCCGCCGCCGUAA
rnacentral:rRNA from 1 species